rnacentral:lncRNA from 1 species
GGAUAAAUUAGGAAUAUUUUGCAAACAUGUUAAUAGUUGGCUUGGAUAAAUCCACGCCAACAUGAAAAGAUACUAAAAAGGUCAUUUUCUAAAGCAGAUGUCACUGACAUGUCGAGACCACAUUUGCACAUGGUGGAUAAAUUAGGAAUAUUUUGCAAACAUAUUAAUAGUCGGUUUGGAUAAUUCCACGCCAACAUGAAAAGAUACUAAAAAG